rnacentral:lncRNA from 1 species
CCAGGUGGCACCGUGGGCAUGGGGAGAAGGUGCCACCAAACCUUGGGGACAUCCAGAUGGCACCGUGGGCGAGGGGAGGAGGUGCCACCAAGCCUUGGGGACAUCCAGAUGCUAGGGGAGGAGGUGCCACCAAGCCUUGGGGACACAUGGACUGUGCCAGGGACAUGGGGAUGAGGUGCCACCAAGCCAUGGGGGACACCCAGAUGGCACCGUGGACAUGGGGAGGAG